rnacentral:lncRNA from 1 species
GUUAGACCCAGCUUCAUAGCAUGAAUUCCAGCAGUGAGAAGGGGCUGUGAUCAAGGGAAUAAACACACUCCUGAGCACAAUACAUUUACCCUGGCUUGGUUUGUGGCCUCCUGCACUGGUUGGGAAGAAGUGGGAUCAGCAGGGAGAAGUGCUGGGAGAACUUAAUGAUGACUUAAUGUGAGAAGGCUAUUGAAUUUCUGGGACAUUGUUCACAGAAUUAUCUACACUGUUUGAAGGGGUCACUGCAAACUGGUUCCACCUGGCUGCAAACAGCUGUGCUGGUGAAAAAUCUUGUACUAUUGAACAAAUACAUCCUCCCCAGUAAGGGUGACAACCCUUUGGACUCCGGUGGAAGAUAUCCAGAAAACAGGAAACAACAAGGAAUUAAUUCUCCAGUUUUGUUCCUGUGAAUCUCCUACAUUUAUCAGUAAAUUACUGAGACUGGCAGCCUAAUUCUUCUGGUACUUUUUAAAGAAAAUAUCUUUCCAAACAAGAAAAAAAAAAAAAGGAUCACUGAGGAACCUUCAGGUAGCU